rfam:Picea glauca, whole genome shotgun sequence.
UAAUGUAAUUUUUAUGGUGUUAAUUCAUUGGAUAAUAUUAGAACUCCACACUUAAGCAUGCUUGGGCUAGAGUAGUACUGGGAUGGGUGACUUCCCAAGAAUUCCUAGUGUUUCACAUG